rnacentral:rRNA from 1 species
UGGGGAAUAUUGCACAAUGGAGGGAACUCUGAUGCAGCGACGCCGCGUGAACGAAGAAGGCUUUCGAGUCGUAAAGUUCUUUUAUAUGGGAAGAUAAUGACGGUACCAUAAGAAGAAGCCCCGGCUAACUACGUGCCAGCAGCCGCGGUAAUACGUAGGGGGCUAGCGUUGUCCGGAAUCACUGGGCGUAAAGGGUUCGCAGGCGGAAAUGCAAGUCAGGUGUAAAAGGCAGUAGCUUAACUACUGUAAGCAUUUGAAACUGCAUAUCUUGAGAAGAGUAGAGGUAAGUGGAAUUUUUAGUGUAGCGGUGAAAUGCGUAGAGAUUAAAAAGAAUACCGGUGGCGAAGGCGACUUACUGGGCUCAUUCUGACGCUGAGGAACGAAAGCGUGGGUAGCAAACAGG